UACAGAGGGUGCGAGCGUUAAUCGGAAUUACUGGGCGUAAAGCGCACGUAGGUGGCUUUGCAAGUCGAUUGUGAAAUCCCCGGGCUUAACCUGGGAACUGCAGUCGAGACUGCUUUGCUUGAGUAUGGGAGAGGGAGGUGGAAUUUCCGGUGUAGCGGUGAAAUGCGUAGAUAUUGGGAGAAACACCAGUGGCGAAGGCGGCUCACUGGACCGGUACUGACGCUGAUGCGCGAAAGCGUGGGGAGCAAACGGG
rnacentral:rRNA from 1 species